GUUUUCUCCGGGUACUCCGGUUUCCUCCCACAUUCCAAAAACAUGCAUGGCAGGCUGAUUGAACACUCUAAAUUGUCCCUAGGUGUGAGUGUGAGCGUGGAUGGUUGUUCGUCUAUGUGUGCCCUGCGAUUGGCUGGCAACCGAUUCAGGGUGUCCCCCGCCUACUGCCCGGAGACGGCUGGGAUGGGCUCCAGCACCCCCCGCGACCCUAGUGAGGCUCAAGCGGUACGGAAGAUGAAUGAAUGAAUAAUAAUACAUUUUAUUUGAAAGUGAUUUUCAUAACACUCAAAGACACUUUACAAGAGCUUAAAACACAGGAUAAAAAUGUGCAUUUAAAACAAGCAUACAUAAUUUACAAAAGCACAUUUAGAUGAACAAAAGAAAAAUGGGUAAAAGAGAUUAAAAGGUAUUAAAAGCAUAGCGGAACAGGUGAGUUUUUAGGGAUGAUUUGAAGGAUUGGAGGUCAGUACAGUUGGGGAUGUGUUGUGGUAGAGCGUUCCAGAGGGUCGGGGCGGCGACAGAGAAGGCUCGGUCCCCCCAGGUUUUGAGCUUGGUCACGGGGAUGGCGAGGAGGUUUGUGUUUGAGGAGCGGAGAUUGCGGGAAGGAGUGUAUUGGUAAAGAAGGUCGGAAAGAUAGGAGGGGGCCUGAUUGUGAAGGGCUUUAUAGGUGAGUAGGAGCAGUUUAAAUUGAAUACGCUGAGGAAUGUGGAGCCAGUGGAGGUUUUUAAGGAUGGGGGUGAUGUGAUCACGAGUGCGGGUGUGGGUGAGUAGGCGGUGGCAUUCUGGAUGUACUGUAGUUUAUUGAGGAGUUUGGAGGUUGUACCAUAGAGAAUGCUAUUGCAGUAGUCAAGGCGGGAGGUGAUGAAUGCGUGGAUGAGGGUUUGAGCAGCGUUGAAAGAAAGUGAUGGGCGGAGACGAGAAAUGUUUUUGAGGUGGAAGAAAGCAGUUUUGGUGGUUUGGGUGAUGUGUUGAUCGAAAGAGA